UCUUGUGAUUAGCAAUCAAGGACAGUUUCUCAGCUAAUCAGUACAGGAAGAAGAGCCUAUGGUAACAGACAAUAAAGGAACAGGUUGCAGACGGCCUAUCGUGAGACUUUGCCUUGUGAUCAUGUUACAAGACUGAAUAAGAUAGACAUGACCUCCUUCCUCCUGGACCUGACAAUUGUUCCUUCAAAUCACUUCCACACAUGCAUUGCCUGGGGACUGGGGACUGGGGUCUGGAUCCCAUGGCCAGACCAAACCCCAAAGGAAGCUAUUGGAGAAUACACACCUUCGAAAUGCGGAGAAAUAUAAGAAAAGGAAGACAAGAGUUCAAGAAGCCAGGCAUCCAACAAUAAUAACUAAAGAGGCAAGGUAAUUCUCAGGAUGAUGUAACAGAAAGUCCAGACUGGUGAAUGACAAUGAAGAACUACAAGAGGUUUGUACUCUGAAAAGAAGAAGGAAAAAAGUGGAACUCACAGUUUGUCUAAAGUUUUUGACCAUGUUUCAAGGAAGUAUAUGGUUCUGUGCAAAGUUAGCAAAAGGUACAUUAAAAAAAUGAGAAAACAACAAAAUCAGGCAAUUACCAACUAAAAGUAUAAAGAAUUUGGUACAAAAAAGGAAAUUAAUAAUACACUACAUGCUAACUUGUUAACAAUUUUUACAUAGUACCAAUACAAUAAAUACAAUGUUAAUUUCAAACUGCAAUUAAUUAUGCUGGAAGGAUGUGGGAGUGUUAAGAGAGUUAAAUUAAAAUCUUCAUAACAGGAAGUCAACAGAUAAUACCUACUGAAUAUUUCUACUUUUUGGAGGGAUGUUGGGUUGGGGAACUACUGUUUCAUUUCCUUAAAGUACUAUUUGGCUUUUUAAAUUGCCUGUACACAUGCAUAUGCAUACAUAGUCUAAAGUUAAAUUUUUAAAACCAC
rnacentral:lncRNA from 10 species